CCGGAUCAAAACAUCAGCCUCAUCCAAACUAACUUUGAUUUCCGAAAGCCAUUGAUGUUUCUGUUCUGAAUCCGAGGCGGAGAAAGAGUUGGAUUUCCGAGAAACAUUCGCGGAGAGUUCACAAUAUUGGCGCUCGUAACCCUCGAAAACCUCACUCAUCUUGACUGAAUUCUGGCGAAAGACUGAGAAAAGCUUAGUUUGACUUUCCGGCGACUCCUCCGAUCUUCGCGGCGAAAAUUGGCAGAUCGGAAAUCGG
rnacentral:misc_RNA from 1 species